UACGAAGGGGGCUAGCGUUGUUCGGAAUUACUGGGCGUACAGCGCGCGCAGGCGGUUGCCGACGUGCCGUGUGACAAACGGGGGCUCAACCCCCGAGGGCCACGGUAAACGGGGCGACUGGAGGAAGGGAGAGGGAUGUGGAAUGCCCGGUGGAGCGGUGAAAUGCGUAGAGAUCGGGCGGAACACCAGCGGCGAAGGCGGCAUCCUGGCCCUUACCUGACGCUGAGGCGCGAGAGCGUGGGGAGCAAACCGG
rnacentral:rRNA from 1 species